GAUCAUGGCUCAGGACGAACGCUGGCGGCGUGCCUAAUACAUGCAAGUCGAGCGGAGAUCAUGGAGCUUGCUCCAUGAUCUUAGCGGCGGACGGGUGAGUAACACGUGGGCAACCUGCCCUGCAGAUCGGGAUAACUCCGGGAAACCGGUGCUAAUACCGAAUAGUUUGCGGCCUCUCAUGAGGCUGCACGGAAAGACGGUUUCGGCUGUCACUGCAGGAUGGGCCCGCGG
rnacentral:rRNA from 1 species